rnacentral:rRNA from 1 species
GAUGAACGCUGGCGGCGUGGAUAAGGCAUGCAAGUCGAACGCUCCAAUUUAUUGGAGAGUGGCAGACGGGUUAGUAACACGUGGAUUACCAACCCCAUUCACGGGGAUAAUCAGUCGAAAGGCUGGCUAAUACCCGAUAGUCUCCGCUUUUUGCGGAGUAAAGCUCAGGCGGAAUGGGAUGGGUCCGCGGCCUAUCAGCUAGUUGGUAAGGUAAUAGCUUACCAAGGCUAUGACGGGUAGGCGGGGUGAGAGCCUGACCGCCAACAAGGGCACUGCGACACGGGCCCUACUCCUACGGGAGGCUGCAGUCGAGAAUAUUGGACAAUGGGGGAAACCCUGAUCCUGCGACGCCGCGUGCUUGAAGAAGCCCUUCGGGGUGUAAAAAGCUUUUAUAGAGGAAGAACCUAACUCUCUAUGCCCAUGACUUUUUGUGGUGGGUUUUGAGAGUUGGGUGACGGUACUCUAUGAAUAAGGGGGUGCUAAUUCUGUGCCAGCAGCAGCGGUAAUACAGAAUCCCCAAGCGUUAUCCGGAUUUAUUGGGCGUAAAGGGUCCGUAGGCGUCUGGUUUUAUCUUUUGUUAAAUUUUCGAGGCUUAACCUUGAAGCUGCGAAAGAAAUAAGCCAGAUAGAGGACGUUAGAGGCUAAUGGAACGGUCAGUGUAGGGGUGAAAUCCGUUGAUAUUGACCGGAACACCGAAAGCGAAGGCAAUUAGCUGGACGAUCCUGACGCUGAGGGACGAAAGCGUGGGGAGAGAACGGGAUUAGAUACCCCGGUAUUCCACGCUGUAAACUAUGGAUACUGGCUAUUUGAAGUGUCGACCCUUCAAGUGGCGAAGCUAACGCGUUAAGUAUCCCGCCUGGGAAUUACGGCCGCAAGGCUAAAACUCAAAGGAAUAGACGGGGGCUCACACAAGCGGUGGAUCAUGUGGCUUAAUUCGAUAAUAAGCGAGGAACCUUACCAGGACUUGACACCCAGACGAAAUCCUAAUGAAAGUUGGGACUUCCGCAAGGACGGCUGGGCAGGUGUUGCAUGGUUGUCGUCAGCAUGUGCCGUGAGGUGCACGCUUAAAUGCGGUAACAUGCGCAACCCUCGCCCUAUGUUUUAUAUGUCAUAGGGGACUGCCCGAGACAAUCGGGAGGAAGGUGAGGACGACGCCAAAUCAGCAUGGCCCUUUGAUGUUCUGGGCUGCACUCAUGAUACAAUGGUUGGGACAAUGGGUUGCCAAUUCGUAAGAAGGAGCUAAUCCCACCAAACCCAAUCUCAGUUCGGAUUGAGGUCUGCAACUCGACCU